rnacentral:rRNA from 1 species
CAUCAGGAGGUUAGUGCAAUGGCAUAAGCCAGCUUGACUGCGAGCGUGACGGCGCGAGCAGGUGCGAAAGCAGGUCAUAGUGAUCCGGUGGUUCUGAAUGGAAGGGCCAUCGCUCAACGGAUAAAAGGUACUCCGGGGAUAACAGGCUGAUACCGCCCAAGAGUUCAUAUCGACGGCGGUGUUUGGCACCUCGAUGUCGGCUCAUCACAUCCUGGGGCUGAAGUAGGUCCCAAGGGUAUGGCUGUUCGCCAUUUAAAGUGGUACGCGAGCUGGGUUUAGAACGUCGUGAGACAGUUCGGUCCCUAUCUGCCGUGGGCGCUGGAGAACUGAGGGGGGCUGCUCCUAGUACGAGAGGACCGGAGUGGACGCAUCACUGGUGUUCGGGUUGUCAUGCCAAUGGCACUGCCCGGUAGCUAAAUGCGGAAGAGAUAAGUGCUGAAAGCAUCUAAGCACGAAACUUGCCCCGAGAUGAGUUCUCCCUGACUCCUUGAGAGUCCUGAAGGAACGUUGA